rnacentral:pre_miRNA from 1 species
AACGUCGCAACCUGUAGGCAGUGGAGACCAGUAGCUCGUUGCCACAUCACAGGAGGUCUGCACAACGUGGCAACGAGCUGUUGGCCUCCACUGCCCACAGGUUGCGAUGUCG